UACGUAGGUGGCAAGCGUUAUCCGGAUUUAUUGGGCGUAAAGGGAACGCAGGCGGUCUUUUAAGUCUAAUGUAAAAGCCUUCGGCUUAACCGGAGUAGUGCAUUGGAAACUGGGAGACUUGAGUGCAGAAGAGGAGAGUGGAACUCCAUGUGUAGCGGUGAAAUGCGUAGAUAUAUGGAAGAACACCAGUGGCGAAAGCGGCUCUCUGGUCUGUAACUGACGCUGAGGUUCGAAAGCGUGGGUAGCAAACAGG
rnacentral:rRNA from 1 species